rnacentral:rRNA from 1 species
GAUGAACGCUGGCGGCGUGCCUAAUACAUGCAAGUCGAGCGAACGGACGAGAAGCUUGCUUUUCUGAUGUUAGCGGCGGACGGGUGAGUAACACGUGGAUAACCUACCUAUAAGACUGGGAUAACUUCGGGAAACCGGAGCUAAUACCGGAUAAUAUUUUGAACCGCAUGGUUCAAAAGUGAAAGACGGUCUUGCUGUCACUUAUAGAUGGAUCCGCGCUGCAUUAGCUAGUUGGUAAGGUAACGGCUUACCAAGGCAACGAUGCAUAGCCGACCUGAGAGGGUGAUCGGCCACACUGGAACUGAGACACGGUCCAGACUCCUACGGGAGGCAGCAGUAGGGAAUCUUCCGCAAUGGGCGAAAGCCUGACGGAGCAACGCCGCGUGAGUGAUGAGGGUCUUCGGAUCGUAAAACUCUGUUAUUAGGGAAGAACAUAUGUGUAAGUAACUGUGCACAUCUUGACGGUACCUAAUCAGAAAGCCACGGCUAACUACGUGCCAGCAGCCGCGGUAAUACGUAGGUGGCAAGCGUUAUCCGGAAUUAUUGGGCGUAAAGCGCGCGUAGGCGGUUUUUUAAGUCUGAUGUGAAAGCCCACGGCUCAACCGUGGAGGGUCAUUGGAAACUGGAAAACUUGAGUGCAGAAGAGGAAAGUGGAAUUCCAUGUGUAGCGGUGAAAUGCGCAGAGAUGUGGAGGAACACCAGUGGCGAAGGCGACUUUCUGGUCUGUAACUGACGCUGAUGUGCGAAAGCGUGGGGAUCAAACAGGAUUAGAUACCCUGGUAGUCCACGCCGUAAACGAUGAGUGCUAAGUGUUAGGGGGUUUCCGCCCCUUAGUGCUGCAGCUAACGCAUUAAGCACUCCGCCUGGGGAGUACGACCGCAAGGUUGAAACUCAAAGGAAUUGACGGGGGCCCGCACAAGCGGUGGAGCAUGUGGUUUAAUUCGAAGCAACGCGAAGAACCUUACCAAAUCUUGACAUCCUUUGACAACUCUAGAGAUAGAGCCUUCCCCUUCGGGGGACAAAGUGACAGGUGGUGCAUGGUUGUCGUCAGCUCGUGUCGUGAGAUGUUGGGUUAAGUCCCGCAACGAGCGCAACCCUUAAGCUUAGUUGCCAUCAUUAAGUUGGGCACUCUAAGUUGACUGCCGGUGACAAACCGGAGGAAGGUGGGGAUGACGUCAAAUCAUCAUGCCCCUUAUGAUUUGGGCUACACACGUGCUACAAUGGACAAUACAAAGGGCAGCGAAACCGCGAGGUCAAGCAAAUCCCAUAAAGUUGUUCUCAGUUCGGAUUGUAGUCUGCAACUCGACUACAUGAAGCUGGAAUCGCUAGUAAUCGUAGAUCAGCAUGCUACGGUGAAUACGUUCCCGGGUCU